rnacentral:lncRNA from 1 species
GGGGUGAGGAGUUGGGGGUGGCAGUGCCUUUGAGGGAGCUCUUGCAGAGGGCAGCCUUUUAAGGUGAGGAGCCAGAGCUCUGGGUCUUAAGAGUUGGAAAGCAGUUUAUAUUUCACAUCCUUCCCUGAAUAGAGAAAUUGAAUUUGGUCAAGAAUAAGUCCUAAGAAGCAAUUGUGAGCACUCCACCUGUCCAUCCUGUUGAUGAAUAUGGAGUGGGAACAAAGUUGAGUAUGGGCAUCUGACAAGGUCUUUAUGAUCCUAGAUGCACUUACUACACCCUUUUCCUCCUCCUCUGCCAUGGCUAAUGGGCUGUGGGUACCCACCGCACAGGGGGCUACAAGACACUCAUUGUGGCUGAUGCAGAAGCUGAGCCCUGACCUCCUGGCCUUCCGAGGAAAGUGAUUACUGUUUUUGGCUUGUUUUUCAACUAUCCCUUUGCCCCCAGCAGGACUGAACCUUUCCCCUCUUACCAUCUCUGGGUCCCUUCAGAUCUUUUAUAGCCUUCAACACCUACCUGCAACAAGAUUUUUUUCUGUCCUAACAAUGGAAGUCCGGUCCGCUUCCUAACAUCUAUCCCUUCCACACUGCACAGCCUCGUUUCCUCUAGAUCAGAGAGAUGGCUUCUGGAUUCAUCUUUCCCUGCAAUCCAACUUCUCCUCCUGGGGUCCUCAUACUGGAGACUGGGACCAUCAUCCAGGCUGUUGCCCUGGGCCAGGAAUUUGGGAGCCAUCCUGGAUCUCUCUGCCCCUGUCAACAUUUCUCUGUCGACAGAUAUUUAUUGGGCAUCUUCAACAACCAGGCCCUGCUCAUGGUGCUGAAGAACAGCAUGUAUGAACAACCCUGCCCUCACAUGGUGGCCAGCGGUGACCUGUGGUGUGGAUUCUCCUGUUACCUCUGUCUCCUCCUUCCUGCUGUCAUCAUCCUUGGUCCUCCUCUGUCACCUGGAAUCCUCCACUUGGAUCACAUCAUUUCCCUUCACAUCCAGAGAAGAGAAGAGGACCCAUAAGGGGGCAUUCCCAGCUCCUUGAUGGUUUGCUAUGUGACUGUCCAAAAAUGUCUCUACAUCUCUGUUCUUCUGGCACCACGAGCUGAAGUUGGUUCCCAAAGAUGGUACCCAGGUCAAGGGAAGAAUAGGAGAGGGAAUUCUGGAACCAAAUUUCUGUCUAAGAAAGAAACAAUUAUCUAAGAAAUUGUGAAUGGAACUGGACUGAAAGCGGAUGAGUCAGGGCUCUUGAAAAAGAAAGUGGCCAUCCCUCUUUUGAGUCAGUUCUGCAAGAGUGGACAGAAACUUUUCCAGACUCCCAGGCCUCUCUGCUCCCUCAGAACUUGAAAAGAUUAAAGUCAUCCCUCCUCAAGGUCUUCACUGAAACCCUGGAAAUCUUUCCUUCAGUUUUAAGAGAUUCCAGUUCUUCCCAUUGUCCAGCCUCAGUCACUACUUGCUGUGUAGCAUAGGUGGCUUCCCUGGGGGAAAGUGUACCAGUCCCGCUCAUUGGUCCUCUAAGACCCCCCGGCAUUCCUCAAGACACUUCUGCCUCAUGAUGUCAGAAGAAGGGCUGUCAAACAGAUUUUAAAAACCCCAGGCUCGGCCAGGCGUGGUGGCUCACAUCUGUAAUCCCAGCACUUUGCAGGGCCGAGGCGGGUGGAUCACAAGGGCAAGAGAUCGAGACCAUCCUGGCUAACACGAUGAAACUCUGUCUCUAAUAAAAAUACAAAAAAUUAACCGGGCGUGGUGGCAGACGCCUGUAGUCCCAGCUGCUUGGGAGGCUGAGGCAGGAGAAUGGCGUGAACCUGGGAGGCGGAGCUUGCGGGGAGCAGAGAUAGUGCCACUGUACUCCAGCCUGGGCGACAGAGCGAGACUCCAUCUCAAAUAAAGAAAAAAAAAAAAAAAAGACUUGGCUCCUCACCUGUAUUGUGGGAAUCCCAGCCUAAAUUGGACAUGUGGACGUUGAGCAAUAGAAGACAGACAAACAAAGGAAUCUCCAAACCUUGCAGGACCCAAGGCAGCAGCCCACGAGUGGAUCCUAAAGGAUUUUCAUCAGCCGCAAGUCUGGGUAAGUGGGCUUUUUUUAGGGGGAGGGGAGAAGCAGCCUGGGAUGCUUCUUGCAGGAAGAGGAGUUUCAGAGGAGACAAGAGAGGUUAGGAGCCACUGAGUGGGUGAGGAGGGCCCAGCCCAAGAGGCUGGGGACAACCACGAGAGGCGGGCCAGUGGGAGAGGAGGGCACUGUUCCUCAGUGGACUAGGUAGAAGGAGGGGUUGUAGAGAGGUGGGUGCAAGGAAGGAAGGAGGAUGGGGAGCUCCCCGUGGCUGUCCCACCUGAAGAAUCUGAGCAGCUGUUCCCAGCUCCCCCUUGCUCUGUGUAACAUCAAGCAAAUGCACGUUGUAGGAUCAGCUUUUCCUCUGAAGACCUCAGGGCCAGUUCUCAGGCCUCCCCGUCCCUGUGGACUUUAAUCCAGUCCAGCACAGAUGGGUUAGGUCACAAUGGUGGUGGGGGUAGUAGCAUUGGGUCUCCCUGGCUUGAAUUUUUUCUUAUUUCCCCAUGUCCUCUCCUUCUUAGGCAAUAAUUUAUCCUUCUGCAUGGUCUUACAUACCCCACAUGUCUAUAGCUCAGAAAACUAAGAAGCACUCCAUCAUUCUUAAGUUGGGCCUUGCCACCUGCAGGCCCCUCCCCUCCCACACUUACCUUCACACGACUGGGGCAAGUGGUUAGUUUCCCCAUGGCCCCUCCAGUCCCUCUCCACUACACGACACCCUUCUUAUCUUUCUGACUACAAUUAGAGCCUCCUCUCCCUGUAGGGAAGUGAGAGGGACAAGGUCAAGGAUCCUCACAACUCAAUAACAGCUGUAGAGAGCCUCACCUAUCCUGUGCACUCACAGUGACUCCAUGCAGGGGACCAGCAACGAGGGGAAAGGGAGUGGGAAUUAGUGUGGGGACAGGGGAGAAUCCUGCAACGGGAUUCCCUGCCUGGUCUAGUCUGGUCUGGGAGCAGGGCAGAUGCUCAACAAGGCAUCCCAGGUCUUGGGGGAGCCACUGGCAGUGGUGAGGCACCAGCUCUCUCAGGGCAUGUGAAAGUUCAUGUUUUCUCUCCCUCCCAUUCUCCAUGACUGUGGAUCCCGAGAAGGACACACCUGACACAGGUACUGCCCUCAUCUUUCCCUGUAACUCCACCUCCACCGCCCAUACCCACUUUAUCCCUCUGCAGGGUUACUAGAGCCUGACCCAAAUUCUCUAUUCCAGAGACAGACAGACCUGUUCCCCAACUCCCAGUGGUGCUACGCAUUGAGAUGCUGAGGUGGGACCCAAAGAUCUGCUCCCGUCUUCUCUCCUGAGGGGCUUGCAGAAGCCCCUUUCUCAGAGUCACCCCUCCCAGGCUGAGCUGAAGAAGCUGAGAAGGGAAGGGCCAUAAUGAUAAGGCUGGGGCAGGGGACAGCGGCACCCUCCGUGCCCUCUCCCCAUUAGUGCAGGUAAACAUAUAAGGGUUUCUCCCAAAUGUGAAGGUUCUGCUUCGGGGCCAUAGAAGGCCCCACCAACACCUGCUGCCCCUCCUGUUUGUCCUCCCUCUCUUCAGCCCCACAAUUACCAAGAGCAAGUUGUUGAGGCAAGCUUUACCCCAGGCCUGCAUUAAGAAAUCUGGGUGGGAGAAUAGAUGUAAGAGACAUUUCCUUAGUGUUUACUGCAAACCCUGCCAGGCUAGAGGGGCCAUAAUCUGCCCUGUAUCAGAUCCACAGAGUUAUACCACCAAAACCCCCCCAGGAUGUAUGUGAGACCACUGGGCUCAUUGGCACUGGCAAAUAAGAUGGCCAGGAAGCAAUCAACACUGAGUGCCCACUGUGUGCUUGGCACUGGGCCAGACUCUGCUGGGGGAGACUAGGGGGGAGGCUCAUUUCACUGGUCUUAUGCUCCCCAUACCAUGGUAAGCCAGAGAGGUACAUAUUACAAAUACUGGAGACUCUCAUGCUUGAAUAUAAUCCUAUAAUCUUAUACCCACUCCCAUUCAGACAUGUGGUCAUAUGUGAAUGUCAAACACACAAGCUAGACAGAAGAAGGAACUUCCCUAGGUUGUCAGUGCUGCAGAGUAAAAUCAUCAGACUCAAAGGCCUCAUUCUUGGAAGGUGAUGAACCGGGAGAGCCCCCGUCUUGCUGGGCCAGGGGUAAAGUAAGGCUCCUGUCUGAAGGCAGGGGGAUGGUUGAGAUGACCCGUCAAGAUGCUACCCAGGACAAGACACAGAGGU